CGGGCACCCGGCGGCAUCCGCGCCAGCGGCCACCUCCCCGGCCCGCAACCGGCCUCAGGGGCCGAGAUUGCGGCCCGAGGUCCGGAAGCGGCGUCCAGCGCUGUCAGCGGGCGGGUAGGACGGAAGGAAACGGGGGAAGGGCGCCGGGGUCGGGGGAGGCGAGCGGGGACCGGCGCGGAGCCCCGCAGCCCGACGUCGGCGGAGAGUUCCUGUUUUAGUUGGCUUCUCUUCAUUGGAAGAAACAGAUUCACUCAAGUGACUUCAAGAAGAAUAGAGUUUAUUAUGAGGAUGCAGAAUGUCAGGCCUCUGAGCCCAAGCCAAGCCAAGCCAUCGCAUCCCCUGUGACUUGCAUGUACACAUCCAGAUGGCCUGAAGUAACUGAAGACACAAAAGAAGUAAAAAUAGCCUUAACUGAUGACAUUCCACCAUUGUGAUUUGUUUCUGCCCCACCCUAACUGAUCAAUGUACUUUGUAAUCUCCCCCACCCUUAAGAAGGUACUUGGUAAUCAAUCUCCCCCACCCUUAAGAAGGUUCUUUGUAAUUCUCCCCACCCUUGAGAAUGUAUUUUGUGAGAUCCACCCCUGCCUGCAAAACAUUGGUCUUAACUUCACCGCCUAUCCCAAAACCUGUAAGAACUAAUGAUAAUCCACCACCCUUUGCUGACUCUCUUUUCGGACUCAGCCCACCUGCACCCAGGUGAUUAAAAGCUUUU
rnacentral:lncRNA from 1 species